rnacentral:tRNA from 1 species
GCCGUUGUAGCUCAGUCGGUUAGAGCGUGGGUCUAAUAAGCCCAAAGGUCGUAGGUUCGACCCCUGCCAGCGGCA